UACGUAGGGAGCAAGCGUUGUUCGGAUUUACUGGGCGUAAAGGGCGCGUAGGCGGCGCGGUAAGUCACUUGUGAAAUCUCUGAGCUUAACUCAGAACGGCCAAGUGAUACUGCAGUGCUAGAGUGCAGAAAGGGCAAUCGGAAUUCUUGGUGUAGCGGUGAAAUGCGUAGAUAUCAAGAGGAACACCUGAGGCGAAGGCGGGUUGCUAGGCUGACACUGACGCUGAGGCGCGAAAGCCAGGGAGCAAACGGG
rnacentral:rRNA from 1 species